rnacentral:ncRNA from 2 species
AAAAUAAAAGGUGAUGGAGCUCACCAUAAACUGCCAACUGGUUGGCUAAUGGCUCCUACGGAUAA